AGCUUUGCGCAGUGGCAGUAUCGUAGCCAAUGAGGUUUAUCCAAGGCGUGAUUAUUGCUAAUUAAACAUUCCAAUUCAAAUCAG
ensembl:snRNA U4 U4 spliceosomal RNA